rnacentral:rRNA from 1 species
UACGUAGGGGGCAAGCGUUGUCCGGAUUUAUUGGGUUUAAAGGGUGCGUAGGCGGCCCUGUAAGUCAGUGCUGAAAUAUCCCGGCUUAACCGGGAGGGUGGCAUUGAUACUGCGGGGCUAGAGUACAGAUGAGGUAGGCGGAAUUGACGGUGUAGCGGUGAAAUGCUUAGAUAUCGUCAAGAACACCUAUAGCGAAGGCAGCUUACUAGGCUGUAACUGACGCUGAGGCACGAAAGUGUGGGGAUCAAACAGG